rnacentral:lncRNA from 1 species
GUCGUCAAGAUGAUCAUGUUAGAUCAAACCCGAUCUCAUGUCCAAUUCAGUAAAUCACACAUUCGGGGUAAUGGAGGAUCGGAUUGUGGUUACGACGACGGGAAUAAAGCCGUCGUCAUCUGUAAAACAGAUAUUCCAUAACGGUUAACCAACUCGUUAUUGCGUCCGUUGAAUUUUUGUAGGGAUUGAUUUCAAUUUCACCAUUUGGAACCACAACAGCAAAUUGUGAUGGCAUCCGUAAAAAG